rnacentral:misc_RNA from 1 species
UUCUACCCUGCCAUACUGAAAUGUUGCACGAACAAUAUACCUUCUUCUCUCUUUGGUGCUUAAAUUGUAACAGUACUUCUUGCUGUCUAUAGGAAAGUCUCUGCGUCUCCGAUACUGCACCCACUUUCCAUUUGGAUUUUUUACUUCUACUGGUUUGCCAUGGUUCAUAAUUCCAUUGUCUGAAAUCCAUUCUAGCCCUGUUCUUGGAUCAGUAUAGUUACUUGUGCUUCCACAAUCUAUACUGAUGAACUC